rnacentral:rRNA from 1 species
UACGUAGGGUGCGAGCGUUGUCCGGAAUUACUGGGCGUAAAGAGCUCGUAGGUGGUUUGUCGCGUUGUUCGUGAAAUUCCCUGGCUUAACUGGGGGCGUGCGGGCGAUACGGGCAGACUGGAGUACUGCAGGGGAGACUGGAAUUCCUGGUGUAGCGGUGGAAUGCGCAGAUAUCAGGAGGAACACCGGUGGCGAAGGCGGGUCUCUGGGCAGUAACUGACGCUGAGGAGCGAAAGCGUGGGGGAGCAAACAGG